AUUCAGUCAUUCAUGCACAUUAAAUCUUUAUUCUUUUAUUAUCAUUUUAUUUUGUUAGCACAAACAUGCACAUCUUAUAACACACACACAAUUACAUGGACACAAAAACAACACUCAAGCAACUAAUUACGUGAAAUGGUAACUCUACCAUCGAUUGAUACGAUUAAAAUUGUGAAAGAUGACUACACAUAGACCUAUCAGCAUACAAGACACAAUCGAACAUUUUACUUAACUCAACAAUGAAGAGGGGAAGG
rnacentral:lncRNA from 1 species